rnacentral:lncRNA from 1 species
AGUGUUGUGACUCCGCCUGUUUGUGACGUCGAGAGUUUCUAGGAGAUGGGCCGUGAUGUUCCCUGUUCUGAGGGUAGGCACCUUGAUUCAUCUAGAAUGUUGGUUGUGAACAGUUUCACAGUUUUUGAAGCAUAUCGCUGAAAUGCUUUCCCAAAGAAUGGUGCCAGUUUCUACUCUAAUCAGUAAUAGAGGACACGUGGGUAGUGUGUCGGGAUGGAGGAGGAACUUUGGUCACAGAAUGGCAACAACAAAAAGAGAAAGGCAUUGCCUUUCUGAAUCCCAGACAGGAGACUCCCCCUGUUGGAAAUGCUGUGUGGGCUCUGGUAAGAAGGCUGCAUAGUCAUCUUCUAUCCUUGCCUACUUCUUGAUCAAAAGGUAUGUGCAUCUCUGUUUAUUUUUAUUUUAUUUUUAAGAAAUACAAAAAGAGAAAAAUCUUUAAAGACAGUCAUUCUCAUUGUCUGAUCUCUGGCUCCUUUAAACAAAUCUAUAAUUCAUUAUUUCAUUAGUUUUAUUAUAUAUUUACUUUUAAAGGAGUAGAAAGAAAAUCCUAUUUUUUACCAUUUCAUAUCUAGAGAAUAUGAUGUAAAGUUAAAAAAAAUUAUUCUUCAGACGCUUAAAACCAUUACUCCUUACAUUAGUUAUUAAACUAAAGCAUACCAGUUGAUAUCUCCACUGAUGAUCAUUUCUUUUUCCAAAUUAUAGAUGAAUAAACUCACUCUGGUGAACACGUUUAUUCAGUGUGUGGAGUUUACAAAAGGCUCAAGUCCCAUCACGAUGAAAGGAGGGUAUUUAUUCUCACCAUUUUGUCAUCAGGCUCAUUUAUACAUUUUCUGGGCCUUCUACUUUUUUCCUAUUCCUCAUAUCAAUCAGGGUGUUUUCAUAGAUGCACAACCCCUAGAAGAUGUAUAUAUCUUUGUUACAGGGAUGUGACUUUACACAUUUGUGGAGCUGGCUGAGCAGGCUCCCUAAGACUGUUGUCUUUGCGUCUGAUGCUGGAGCUGGAAGUCCACAGGGUGAGUGGUUGGGAAGGGAAGGGGAACAUUAAGUGGGAGGGCUGGGGAGCUAGCUGGAACGCACAAGCAUGAUCGAAGGAUGGACUGAAAGUUGUAUCUAUUAUUGUUGCCUCUAACCUUGGUGAUGAGAGCAUCCUGCAGAAUCCAGGGGCCUUCCUCAUGGAGCUAAUAGACACCCAUAUCUAGCCUGCCAGUUGGAGAAGGUGAAGAAGGAAUGGGGAAAGUGGAGCACUUGCAGACCCAGCCACUGCUUCAUGCCAACAAACCAGAAGAACCCAGAGAGGGUAGAGGAAAUGUCUUCCUCCCCUACAGUAACAAACGAGAGAAGCACCGUCUUUCAAAAAAGGAGAGAUUUGAAAGGUCAGCCAAUGAAACUGCGAACACCUGGAAUUCUGGCUUCAGCAGGCAUCAUCAUGGUGUUACUUCAUAAGGAUGUUGUCAGGAUUAAAUAUGCUAGCACAAGGGACAGUUCUAAAGAAGAACCUGACACACAGUGGAUGCUGAAGAAAUGUUAGCUCUUGUUAAUGUGAUUAUUAAAUGAAUUCUGUUUCUGUUGUCAUUUAACAAGAAUUCUGGAGGGAGACAAGCAUCUACUUUGGCUCUGGGGUUCAGGAGUUCCAAGAAAUCUUUCUUUUGACUCCUUGGCUCGCCGACCCCGCAUCAGAAGCCAAGGCAUUGAUUUCCACUUAAAUUCUGUUGCCUACACCCUUGUCAUAUGACAUCACCCAGCUUCAAGGGAGGAUGGACCAUGGAGUCCUCUUCUAGUGGGAUACAUUGCCAGUCAGAACAAAGCAAGAGGACCAUUCAGUUUGAAAGAAAGGACAAUGAACUUUGGGAAGGCAACCUUCAAGAUCUCCCAAAGCUCCAUUCCAAUCUAACCAUGCUGUUGUAUUCUGUCCAGCCUAACAAUCAGUCCCAUUGAAGGGAAGUAGAGGGUCAGUUGAGUUUUUUUUUUUUUCUCUUUAGCAG